ACAUGAAGCUGGAAUCGCUAGUAAUCGCAGAUCAGAAUGCUGCGGUGAAUACGUUCCCGGGUCUUGUACACACCGCCCGUCACACCAUGGGAGUUGGAAAUGCCCGAAGCCAGUGACCCAACCGUAAGGAGGGAGCUGUCGAAGGGUGGAGCCGAUGACUGGGGUGAAGUCGUAACAAGGUACC
rnacentral:rRNA from 1 species